UACGAAGGGGGCUAGCGUUGUUCGGAAUUACUGGGCGUAAAGCGCACGUAGGCGGACUACUAAGUCAGGGGUGAAAUCCCGGGGCUCAACCCCGGAACUGCCUUUGAUACUGGUAGUCUCGAGUCCGGAAGAGGUGAGUGGAAUUCCGAGUGUAGAGGUGAAAUUCGUAGAUAUUCGGAGGAACACCAGUGGCGAAGGCGGCUCACUGGUCCGGUACUGACGCUGAGGUGCGAAAGCGUGGGGAGCAAACAGG
rnacentral:rRNA from 2 species